ACCAAAUUCUCACCGGUGGAUGUCUUGGUUCCCACAACGAUGAAGAACGCAGCGAAGUGCGAUAAGCAGUGCGAAUUGCAGAACCGUGAGUCAUCAGAUCUUUGAACGCAACUGGCGCCGUAGGGUUCGCCCUCGGCACGCCUGGUCCAGUAUCU
rnacentral:rRNA from 1 species